AGCGAACGCUGGCGGCAGGCUUAACACAUGCAAGUCGAGCGCCCCGCCAGGGGAGCGGCAGACGGGAGAGUAACACGUGGGGACAUACCUUUUGGUUCGGAACAAUUGAGGGAAACUUCAGCUAAUACCGGAUAAGCCCUUACGGGGAAAGAUUUAUCGCCGAAAGAUUGGCCCGCGUCUGAUUAGCUAGUUGGUGGGGUAACGGCUCACCAAGGCGACGAUCAGUAGCUGGUCUGAGAGGAUGAGCAGCCUCACUGGGACUGAGACACGGCCCAGACUCCUACGGGAGGCAGCAGUGGGGAAUAUUGGACAAUGGGGGCAACCCUGAUACAGCCAUGCCGCGGGAGUGAUGAAGGCCUUAGGGUUGUAAAGCUCUUUUGCCCGGGAAGAUAAUGACGGUACCGGGAGAAUAAGCCCCGGCUAACUUCGUG
rnacentral:rRNA from 1 species